CCGCCUACGGGGCGCAGCAGUGAGGAAUAUUGGUCAAUGGACGCAAGUCUGAACCAGCCAAGUAGCGUGCAGGAUGACGGCCCUCCGGGUUGUAAACUGCUUUUAGUUGGGAAUAAAAGGGGGCCCGUGAGCCCCGUAUUGUAUGUACCAUCAGAAAAAGGACCGGCUAAUUCCGUGCCAGCAGCCGCGGUAAUACGGAAGGUCCGGGCGUUAUCCGGAUUUAUUGGGUUUAAAGGGUGCGCAGGCGGAUUUUUAAGUCAGCGGUCAAAUCGUGGGGCUCAACCCCAUCCAGCCGUUGAAACUGG
rnacentral:rRNA from 1 species